GUGCCACCUAGGAACCUGGGUCUUUCCUAACUCCUAAUUGCCUCUCUCCUACUUCUUAGCAUCUUCAUGCAGAGCAUAGUGAUGGUUCUGUGUAGUUAAAAGGAAAAGAGAAAAAGAUGGAGGAGGGGAGAAAGAGAGAAGGAGAAGAAUUGCGGGAUUUGAGAAAGCUGGCUGUGGCUUGCCCCAAUUAUUUUACGGAUGACAAAGCAGACUCAGAAAAGUCAGGUAACUUGGCUAAAAACCUGCCUAGUUACUGGCAGAUUGAGAACUACAAUCUGGGUGAGUAAAGACUUUUUGAAACACGAGCAUUGUGUAAAACUAGAAUUGUUUCUCAAGAGAAAGUUCAGAAUUGUUCUCUCUGAGGACUUCUAAGGACAUCAAAGGAAACCACCUGAAGGUUCACAAUAGAUAUCUUCUGAGGACCAUGGCUAAAUUUAACCGGGACAUUUCCUGACUACCCUGACGUUGAAGAAGGAGGGUCAGCUAUUAUUUUUUCUGACAAGACCAUACAACAGGUUAUUGAGGAUAUCAUAGCAAACCAAGAGGAAGAAGAAAAAAACAAAAAGAAGAAGAAGAAAAAGGAAAAACAACCCAAGAAAGCCAAAAAACAAAAGAAAGGAACAAAGGAGAAAAAUAAGGAAGAAGACGAAAAAUGGAAAAUGUCACCAAGUCUUUUUCUUCCUGCAAUGAAGGAAGGAUGUAACGCAUACAAAGAAAUCUGGAUGAAAAAAGAUGA
rnacentral:lncRNA from 1 species